AUUGAACGCUGGCGGCAGGCCUAACACAUGCAAGUCGAGCGAGCGGCGGACGGGUGAGUAAUGUCUGGGAAACUGCCUGAUGGAGGGGGAUAACUACUGGAAACGGUAGCUAAUACCGCAUACCAUCAGAUGUGCCCAUAUGGGAUUAGCUAGUAGGUGGGGUAAUGGCUCACCUAGGCGACGAUCCCUAGCUGGUCUGAGAGGAUGACCAGCAAAAGGGGAACUGAGACAGGCCCCAGACUCCUACGGGAGGCAGGAGGGGGAAAGAUUGAACAAUGGGCGAAGCCUGAUGCAGCCAUGCCGCGUGUGUGAAGAAGGCCUUCGGGUUGUAAAGCACUUUCAGCGGGGAGGCGUUACCCGCAGAAGAAGCACCGGCUAACUCCGUGUCAGCAGCCGCGGUAAUAC
rnacentral:rRNA from 1 species